GACGAACGCUGGCGGCGUGCUUAACACAUGCAGGUCGAACGGUGAAGGGGUCUGCUUUUGUGGGCCCUGGAUGAGUGGCGAACGGGUGAGUAACACGUGAGUAACCUGCCCCCUUCUUCUGGAUAACCGCAUGAAAGUGUGGCUAAUACGGGAUAUUCUGGGUCUGUCGCAUGAUGGGUCUGGGAAAGAUUGCGCCUUUGGGUGUUUUUGGUGGGGGAUGGGCUCGCGGCCUAUCAGCUUGUUGGUGGGGUGAUGGCCUACCAAGGCGGUGACGGGUAGCCGGCCUGAGAGGGUGGACGGUCACACUGGGACGGAGACACGGCCCAGACUCCUACGGGAGGCAGCAGUGGAGAAUAUUGCACAAUGGGCGCAAGCCUGAUGCAGCGACGCCGCGUGAGGGAGGGAGGCCUUCGGGUUGUAAACCUCUUUCGCCAGUGAAGCAGGCCUGCUCCUUGUGGGUGGGUUGACGGUAGCUGGAGAAGAAGCGCCGGCUAACUACGUG
rnacentral:rRNA from 1 species